rnacentral:rRNA from 1 species
GAUGAACGCUGGCGGCGUGCCUAAUACAUGCAAGUCGAGCGAACGGACGAGAUGCUUGCUUCUCUGAUGUUAGCGGCGGACGUGUGAGUAACACGUGGAUAACCUACCUAUUAGACUGGGAUAACUUCGGGAAACCGGAGCUCAUACCGUAUAAUAUUUUGACCCGCAUGGUUCAUACGUGAACGACGGUCUUGCUGUCACUUAUCGAUGGAUCCGCGCUGCAUUAGCUAGUUGGUAAGGUAACGGCUUAACAAGGCAACGAUGCAUAGACGACCUCAGAGGGGGAUAGGCCAAACGGGAAGGGAGACACGGACCAGAGGCGUACGGGAGGCAGCAGAAGGGAAUCGUCCGAAAUGGGCGAAAGCAUGACGGAGGAACGCCGCGGGAGGGAUGAAGGAGUAGGGAGCGGAAAACGCUGUAAUUAGGGAAGAAGAUAUGGGUAAGAAACAGGGAACAUCGUGACGGUACCGAAAAAGAAAGCAACGGCUAAAUACGUG